rnacentral:antisense_RNA from 1 species
AGCCAUCAUUCAACUCCUAGAUAGUUGGUUGUGGUGAGCGGCGUUGGUGUGUUGCUGCACAUCAGCGCCGUGUU